rnacentral:lncRNA from 1 species
GUAAAUAUGCAAUUAAGGGUGUCACACAAUUAUUUCACACCAUUCAUCAUAAUAUUUAGUCAUGCUCAUUAUUUAAUUCAAAACAUAAAGCAUUGCACAAUACGCAGCGGAUAGAGAUCAAAUCGAUCAUUCAAAACGUGUACCACACUGCAUGUAAACUGGUUCAAAACCACAAUAAACAAUUAAAACAUCCCAUCCCGAUGUUACAUCUAUCAGAGCACGACCCACUAAGGAGACUACACUAGACUCCAAUCACUAGCUUC